CCCGAUGGAGGGGGAUAACUACUGGAAACGGUAGCUAAUACCGCAUAACGUCGCAAGACCAAAGAGGGGGACCUUCGGGCCUCUUGCCAUCGGAUGUGCCCAGAUGGGAUUAGCUAGUAGGUGGGGUAACGGCUCACCUAGGCGACGAUCCCUAGCUGGUCUGAGAGGAUGACCAGCCACACUGGAACUGAGACACGGUCCAGACUCCUACGGGAGGCAGCAGUGGGGAAUAUUGCACAAUGGGCGCAAGCCUGAUGCAGCCAUGCCGCGUGUAUGAAGAAGGCCUUCGGGUUGUAAAGUACUUUCAGCGAGGAGGAAGGGGAUGUGGUUAAUAACCGCAUUCAUUGACGUUACUCGCAGAAGAAGCACCGGCUAACUCCGUGCCAGCAGCCGCGGUAAUACGGAGGGUGCAAGCGUUAAUCGGAAUUACUGGGCGUAAAGCGCACGCA
rnacentral:rRNA from 1 species